rnacentral:rRNA from 1 species
AAACCUGAGAGUUUGAUCCUGGCUCAGAACGAACGCUGGCGGCAGGCUUAACACAUGCAAGUCGAACGCAUCCUUCGGGGUGAGUGGCAGACGGGUGAGUAACGCGUGGGAAUCUACCCUGAUCUACGGGAUAGCUCCGGGAAACUGGAAUUAAUACCGUAUGUGUCCUUCGGGAGAAAGAUUUAUCGGUUCAGGAUGAGCCCGCGUUGGAUUAGCUAGUUGGUGGGGUAAUGGCCUACCAAGGCGACGAUCCAUAGCUGGUCUAAGAGGAUGAUCAGCCACAUUGGGACUGAGACACGGCCCAAACUCCUACGGGAGG